UGAACGCUGGCGGCGUGCUUAAUACAUGCAAGUCGAACGAACGAGCCCUUAACCGAAGAUGAUGACGUGCUUGCACUGAAUCUGAUUCACCUUAGGGUUACUGAGUGGCGGACGGGUGAGUAACGCGUGGGUAACCUGCCUUAGACAGGGGGAUAACAUCAAGAAAUUGGUGCUAAUACCGCAUAUGCUCACAGUAUCGCAUGAUACAGUGAGGAAAACUCCGGUGGUCUAAGAUGGACCCGCGUCUGAUUAGCUAGUUGGAGGGGUAACGGCCCACCAAGGCGACGAUCAGUAGCCGACUUGAGAGAGUGAUCGGCCACAUUGGGACUGAGACACGGCCCAAACUCCUACGGGAGGCAGCAGUAGGGAAUAUUGCACAAUGGGGGAAACCCUGAUGCAGCGACGCCGCGUGAAGGAUGAAGUAUUUCGGUAUGUAAACUUCUAUCAGCAAGGAAGAAAAUGACGGUACUUGACUAAGAAGCCCCGGCUAAAUACGUGCCAGCCGCUGC
rnacentral:rRNA from 1 species